rnacentral:rRNA from 1 species
GACGAACGCUGGCGGCGUGCUUAACACAUGCAAGUCGAACGGAAAGGCCCUGCUUUUGUGGGGUGCUCGAGUGGCGAACGGGUGAGUAACACGUGAGUAACCUGCCUUUGACUUUGGGAUAACUUCAGGGAACUGGGGCUAAUACCGGAUAGGAGCUCCUGCUGCAUGGUGGGGGAUGGAAAGGUUCGGCGGUUGGGGAUGGACUCGCGGCUUAUCAGCUUGUUGGUGGGGUAGUGGCUUACCAAGGCUUUGACGGGUAGCCGGCCUGAGAGUGUGACCGGCCACAUUGGGACUGAGAUACGGCCCAGACUCCUACGGGAGGCAGCAGUGGGGAAUAUUGCACAAUGGGCGGAAGCCGGAUGCAGCAACGCCGCGUGCGGGAUGACGGCCUUCGGGUUGUAAACCGCUUUCGCCUGUGACGAAGCGUGAGUGACGGUAAUGGGUAAAGAAGCACCGGCUAACUACGUG